rnacentral:rRNA from 1 species
AUGGACCAUUCCAUCCCUUUUUCCCGUGCAUAUGCAUCGGACUCGGAUGACGAUGGUCCCGAUGAACAAGUUGAUGCGGAGGGGUUCACGGUGAAGGAGGCCGAAGCUUUCGAGAAGGUAUUUGGUCGGGAUCAUCGGACUACAUUGUUCAAGGAUGUUAGUCUCGCGGAUGAAGCCGUGGUAGAUGGUGGCCAAUGUGUACCUCUUGGGGUUAGGCCAAGCUCUCACCGUGAUUUGGUAGACGACAAGAACCGGAUUGCUAAAGGUUCUAAGUUCGACAGCUUGUUGGAUUUGAAGAUGUGGCUCGACAACUACUCGGUUACGCAUUAUCGUCCACACAAGGUGGUGCACUCGGACGUCAAUGUGCGCUACACGGUUGCAUGUGCAUGUGAAGAUGAAAAGGAGGUCCAACUUGGACUUACAAGAGGCCGUGGUGGUGGUAGAGGUCAUGGAAAGGAGGUCCAACAAGGAGUGGCAAGACGCCGUGGCGGUUGUCCGUGGAUUGUGCGUGCAAGACCAUGGAAAGGAGGUCCUACUUGGCAUGUAGUGAGUUGUGUGCCAACUCACAUGUGCCAAGGCAAAAGGGUGGAUGGCAAGAUUGUGUCCGAAGACCACAAACAACUCACGUCCGAGUUCAUCGCUUACGGGCUCUCCAACUCAAUAUCCACACUUCCAACAAUGAGCGUCCAACAUGUCAUUGACCUUGUGAAAGCCAUCUUUCAUUACAAGGUGAAAUACGGCAAGGCAUGGAAGGCGAAGCAAGCCGCAUUUAAGAUGUUGUAUGGUACAUGGGAGGAAGCAUACAACCGAAUCCCUAGGUUGUUGUUAGCCAUGGCCGCGACAAACCCGGGCAUGGUUCAUGUGGUCGAGCCUCAUGGGCACCAAACAACGGUUCAUGAAGGAAGGAAAGUCAGAGUAUUUGGCCGUGCUUUUUGGGCGUUCGAGCAAUGUGUGAGGGCUUUCGAACAUUGUAGGCCGGUCAUCGCAAUUGAUGGCACGUUCUUGACCGGACAAUACAAGGGCACCUUGUUGGUUGCGAUAGCAAGUGAUGCCAAUAACCGGGUGUUGCCAUUGGCAUUUGCUUUGGUUGAGGUGGAAAACAAU